rnacentral:rRNA from 1 species
AGGACGAACGCUGGCGGCGUGCUUAACACAUGCAAGUCGAGCGAGGCUCCUCCUUCGGGAGGAUGCCCUAGCGGCGAACGGGUGAGUAACACGUGGGCAACCUGCCCCUAGCACUGGGAUAACCCCGGGAAACCGGGGCUAAUACCGGAUACGACUUCGGAAGGCAUCUUCUGAAGUGGAAAAGGUUACUGGCUAGGGAUGGGCCCGCGGCCUAUCAGCUUGUUGGUGGGGUAAUGGCCCACCAAGGCGACGACGGGUAGCCGGCCUGAGAGGGCGACCGGCCACACUGGGACUGAGACACGGCCCAGACUCCUACGGGAGGCAGCAGUGGGGAAUAUUGCACAAUGGGCGAAAGCCUGAUGCAGCGACGCCGCGUGAGGGAUGACGGCCUUCGGGUUGUAAACUCCUGUCAGGGAAAGAAGUUCUGAUCUACCCAGAGGAAGAGGCGGCUAACUCUGCGCCAGCAGCCGC